AGAUGUUGAAGUUUCUGGGAAGAGAAAUCCGGUUCCACGUGUGGAGCAUCUCUCUGCAGAGCGUUUGUGUUGUACUGGUCUGUCGUACUCUCACGACAGUUCCCGUCGUGUUCUGGAAGAAUGAAAGUGUAGGCACAUUGCCCAUGUUGAAUCCGGUUAUAUCUUCUCCCACCGUUUUCUGGACUUCGGCGCUGGUUGCUGCACCCUAUGGUUCAAGAAUGUCAGCAGGGCUAUGGCAGUGGUAGCUAUGUCUACAAGGAAGCACUUGGCUAUAAUCCCUGGAGGCAGAGCCAAGACCCCUUCACUCAACUAUGUAGGCAUCAAAGGUAUCCACAACAGAUGGAAAUACCAUAGGGUGCCAAAACAGAAAAACAAGAAGAUGGAGGAUAUCACCUGGUGACUGAUGGCACUUUACUUGAUUCCUAGAUGAGAGAAAAAUGCAAAGGUCUCUCUGUCUCAACUUUUACAACUUCAGAAAGAACAUGUAUUUUACAUCUUCUCAGAAACUCAGAAAGAACAUGAUUGGAAAGGAACGGCUAGAAUCAUCAUGUGAUGAAUCAUGGAUGGUGACUAAUCCUUGUAGCCAAAACUGAUAAAUAACCUCCACUGAGCAGUGACUAGAGGGUAUAUAAGACUUUCUGUGAUUCUGUUUGUGAUUAGAGAGCUGUGACAACCUCUGCUCAUCAGAGGGUGGAUGAACUGUUCAGUAGUGGUUAAGGGGGGAGGCAAAUUGCUUUGUUUUUGCUUAUUUCUUGUUUAUCCUAUUAAACAAAAUUGAAUUACA